rnacentral:rRNA from 1 species
CGGCAACAGCUCAAAUUUGAAAUCUGGCUUCGGCCCGAGUUGUAAUUUGUAGAGGAUGCUUUUGGUGCGGUUCCUUCUAAGUCCACUGGAACGUGGCGCCACAGAGGGUGAGAGCCCCGUACAGUUGGAAACCUAUCCUGUGUAAAGCUCCUUCGAC